rnacentral:rRNA from 1 species
AGUGAAGCGGGAUGAGCUCAAAUUUAAAAUCUGGCUGGUUUACUAGUCCGAAUUGUAGUUUAAAGAAGUGUUUUCGGUGGCAGCCUGGGUAUAAAUCCUUUGGAACAGGGUAUCAUAGAGGGUGAGAAUCCCGUCUUUGACUCAGUGCAUGCUACUAUGUGAUACAUUUUCAAAGAGUCGAGUUGUUUGGGAAUGCAGCUCAAAAUGGGUGGUAAAUUUCAUCUAAGGCUAAAUAUUGGCGAGAGACCGAUAGCGAACAAGUACCGUGAGGGAAAGAUGAAAAGAACUUUGAAAAGAGAGUUAAACAGUGCGUGAAAUUGUUGAAAGGGAAACGCUUGACACCAGUCAUGCGAGCGGAAAAUCAGUCUUUUGCAGUGGGGGGUUGUGUGGGAUCGGACCGCAAGGCCGGCCUAUGCUGCAUCUCUGCUGUAAGUGAUGCACUUUUUCGUUUGCAGGCCAACAUCAGUUUCUUCUGCUGGACAAAACUCUUGAGAAGGUAGCAGCUUUGGCUGUGUUAUAGCUCUUGAGCGAUACAGUGGAGGGGACUGAGGUUUUCGCAGCGCGUGCUUUCGGGCAAGGCUGAUUGGGUGCUAUGGGAUCGUUCGGUGUACAAUGCAUGCAUUUUGCGCCGUGUCUUUUCUGUACUCGCUCAACUCGGCUCUUCCGCGCUUAGGAUGUUGGCUUAAUGGUUUUAAUCGACCCGUCUUGA